AACGAACGCUGGCGGCAUGCCUAACACAUGCAAGUCGAACGAAGUCUUCGGACUUAGUGGCGCACGAGUGCGUAACGCGUGGGAAUCUGCCCUUGGGUGCGGAAUAACUUCUCGAAAGGGAUGCUAAUACCGCAUAAUGUCGUAAGACCAAAGAUUUAUCGCCCAAGGAUGAGCCCGCGUAAGAUUAGCUAGUCGGUGGGGUAAAAGCCUACCAAGGCGACGAUCUUUAGCUGGUCUGAGAGGAUGAUCAGCCACACUGGGACUGAGACACGGCCCAGACUCCUACGGGAGGCAGCAGUGGGGAAUAUUGGACAAUGGCGAAAGCCUGAUCCAGCAAUGCCGCGUGAGUGAUGAAGGCCCUAGGGUUGUAAAGCUCUUUUACCAGGGAUGAUAAUGACAGUACCGGGAGAAUAAGCCCCGGCUAACUCCGUGCCAGCAG
rnacentral:rRNA from 1 species